rnacentral:rRNA from 1 species
UACGGAGGAUCCAAGCGUUAUCCGGAUUUAUUGGGUUUAAAGGGUGCGUAGGCGGAAUAGUAAGUCAGUGGUGAAAGCCUGCAGCUUAACUGUAGAAUUGCCAUUGAUACUGCUAAUCUUGAGUACAUAUGAAGUGGGCGGAAUGUGUCAUGUAGCGGUGAAAUGCUUAGAUAUGACACAGAACACCGAUUGCGAAGGCAGCUCACUGAACUGUAACUGACGCUGAGGCACGAAAGCAUGGGGAGCAAACAGG